rnacentral:rRNA from 1 species
UACAGAGGUCUCAAGCGUUGUUCGGAUUCAUUGGGCGUAAAGGGUGCGUAGGUGGCGUGGUAAGUCGGGUGUGAAAUUUCGGAGCUUAACUCCGAAACUGCAUUCGAUACUGCUGUGCUUGAGGACUGGAGAGGAGACUGGAAUUUACGGUGUAGCAGUGAAAUGCGUAGAGAUCGUAAGGAAGACCAGUGGCGAAGGCGGGGUCUCUGGACAGUUCCUGACACUGAGGCACGAAGGCCAGGGGGAGCAAACGGGG